AUAGCGUAUAUUAAAGUUGUUGUGGUUAAAAAGCUCGUAGUUGGAUCUCGGUUUCGGGUGAAUGGUGCACCUUGCGGUGUUUACUAUUUAUUCGGACGAUUUUGUUGGUUCGUUCCUGGUUCUCUUAAUCGAGUGCCUUGAGUGGCCAACACGUUUACUUUGAAAAAAUUGGAGUGCUCAAAGCAGGCGCUACAGCCUGAACAUUAGUGCAUGGAAUAAUGGAAUAGGAUCUCGGUUCUAUUUCGUUGGCUUUCGGAGUCGAGGUAAUGAUUAAUAGGGACAGACGGGGGCAUUCGUACUGCGACGUUAGAGGUGAAAUUCUUGGAUCGUCGCAAGACGAACUACUG
rnacentral:rRNA from 1 species